UACAGAGGGGGCAAGCGUUGUUCGGAAUUACUGGGCGUAAAGGGCGCGUAGGCGGCCUGUUAAGUCGGACGUGAAAUCCCCGGGCUCAACCCGGGAACUGCGUCCGAUACUGGCAGGCUUGAAUCCGGGAGAGGGAUGUGGAAUUCCAGGUGUAGCGGUGAAAUGCGUAGAUAUCGGGAGGAACACCAGUGGCGAAGGCGGCUAGCUGGGCCAGUUCUGACGCUGAGGCGCGAAAGCGUGGGGAGCAAACAGG
rnacentral:rRNA from 1 species